UUCGAAAUAAGUGGAAUGUGAUUUUAAGAAGUGGUCUGGCACUAGAGGGAUUGUUCAGAAGUUAAAAGUACUUGCUGUUCUUCCAGAGGACAAGAGUUCAUUUUCCAGCAUCCUAUAAUCGGGUUGGACCUGUUUUUCCAGCACCCUAAGUUGCAACAUUAAGUUCAUAAUGCAAAUCCAUUCUGGGUCUUCAACCAUCAGAUCAAUGUUCUUCCCGUCAUCAUCCCUGCUUUCAUAGAGAUCCAUGGUCUGUUUGUUCUUGAGGGCUGCUUUGCUGCCUUAAUUAUACAUGGAGGAAUCUACCUGUCCAACUCUUGUUCCAUACCUCACAAAAUGGAAAUUUUUCAUCUAAGACUCUUCAUGAAUUUCUAUUAAGUUCCCGAAGGCUAUUGGACUCGACACUCAGUCUCAAGUGAACCCCUUUCUCUCUGAUAUUUUACCUUUGGCAUCCUGAAGUUCCAGAACAUGCCAAUGAAGUUGGUUUAGUUUGACUUGUUUGGGAAGAAUGGCUUGUGAUCGUAAAUCCUUUUGCCUUCUGAUAUGUGCAUCGGCCAUUCUUGACUCUGCUGAAUACAAUUCUACAUAUCUCCAAGGAAUCAUACAAAAAUAGGUAAACGGAGUCUGGCAGGAGGUGUUGCAAGCAGCCAAUUAAGGAACAUUUUGAUCAGGAUGGGCUCCAGGGAACAGCUCUUGUCAUCCCUGGUUCUGGUUGAUUUCCUUUUUGGAGUCUAUUCUGGACCUUUGGACUAAAGACUCUGCCUCUAGGGUUUUCAGUUAAAGAGGAAACAGCAGAAAUUCUGGGGCGUAUGGGAAGAGCUGAUGAUUUCUUUAAGCUUAACUUCUUAAGAACUGGAGGCAAGAAAAUUUACCUGAAGGCCUCCACAUCUCAGGAAAUGAGUGAGCUGAAGCAUCCAUCAUAGAGAAAAACGAUUUAGGAUUGUUCCUGAAGAAAUGCAAACAGAAAGCUGAGGAGAUGAACUCCAGCCAUCAUCAUCCCUAAUAGGAAUUUUCAGUGCAGAGCUAGACAGGAGACAUGAAAGGUGGACUCUCCACCAGGAGAAACUUUAUUCAAAUCACGACUGAGGUGCAUGGUGGGUAAACUGGAUCAUAAGAGAGGUCCUACUCAGGGAUCAUCAUAAAAUCCAUGCUCUCAGAGGCCCGACCCACUCUUUUCUUUGAUAAGAAGACAUGCAGAAGAUCUGAGGUUAGGGAAUCUAUGUGAGUAAAGGCAGUCAUAUCUUCCUUUGUCUUAGCUGUCCUCAUUCUUGACCUAGUAAUUUGAGAACUAGAGAUAGUGGAAGAGCCCAACGAUAUUUCAGAAAGCAGAAAUAG